CGGACGCUGGCGGCGUGCUUAACACAUGCAAGUCGAACGAGGUGAUUGAAAGCUUGCUUUGAGAACCGAGUGGCAAACGGGUGAGUAACGCGUAGACAACCUGCCGCAAAGAUGGGGACAACAGUCCGAAAGGACUGCUAAUACCGAAUGUUGUCAGUUUCUCGCAUGGGAGACUGAUUAAAGAUGGCCUCUACUUGUAAGCUAUCGCUUUGCGAUGGGUCUGCGUCUGAUUAGCUGGUUGGUGGGGUAACGGCCUACCAAGGCGACGAUCAGUAGCCGGUCUGAGAGGAUGAACGGCCACAUUGGAACUGAGACACGGUCCAGACUCCUACGGGAGGCAGCAGUGGGGAAUCUUCCGCAAUGGGCGAAAGCCUGACGGAGCAACGCCGCGUGAGUGAAGAAAGGGGUUUCGGCUCGUAAAGCUCUGUUGACGGGGACGAACGUGCGAGAUGCGGAUAGUUUCUUGCAAUGACGGUACCCGUCGAGGAAGCCACGGCUAACUACGUGCCAGCCGCAGC
rnacentral:rRNA from 1 species